UGACAUUUAUUUCGUUUGGGGAAUCCCCUAAAUGAAUCACAGUCACAUAAAAAAAGGCUUGGAAAGUUCAGUCGUGCCUAUUUUUUAGUUUAGUUUUGGACUUCCCCGAGAAAGGACCAAGCAGGCAAAUAUCUUUACGAUGGCGCUCAACUUCAAUGAGGCUCUUGAAAUGCUUAUAGAAAAUCUAUCUAAUAAUCCAACACCAGAACAUAAAAGUUAUGUGCAGGACGCUUCCGACAUAUCCGAGAAAAUAUGCCAAGAAUUCAACAACAUCGACUCUAUUUUCAAGGGUACAAUCAGCAAUUUGGACAAGACAUAUAUGUUUUUCAAUAUUCCUUUUCCGAAAAUGGUAGAGCCGCUCCUUUGGCUUAAAAUGCCAUUUAAAGUAGAGCCUCAGCGCCUUCAUAUUCCCGAAUACAAGGUCUUUCAUCUGAAAACAUCUGUGGCACAUCCGGCAGUUGUGAAUAACUUUGUGAAGGGUGAUAAGCUAGCCAAAUUGUUCUUUACGGAUUUGAGCAAAGCCAUUGGCAGAGUUUCUCAGAUCGAGUGUAAAAGCGGAAAAUCAUAUAGCAUUCGACAUGGCAUGGAUAUGGCUAAAAACUUUAUAAUUAAUGCCUAUGAAGCUGGUCAGGUCGAAGAGACAAUUUCUUAUACUUUCAAACUACAAUUCAGUUUCUUUGACCAUUCUAUUUUGUACGCAACCAACAAGAAUUUAUUCUUCCAAGAAACCAAAUCUGAUAGACCUAAGAAAUUGUCAACCAUUCACAUGAUCGUCCACACAUUAUUGAUACAAUUAAAGGUGUAUUUAUCCUUGUCCAUUCAAGUUGGUGCAAACUUAUUUGAUUCUAUCAAUUGGAAAUUGGUUACCAACGCCGGUGAUACAUUGCUCGAGGUUUUAAUGAAGGUUAUUUCGAUAAUGCCAAACCCCGAGCCCGUCAAAUCGGUUUACCUGAAGUUAUUGCAGCUUAAGCAAUUAGAUUCAGUCGAAAUGCCAGAACUAAAAGCGCUUUUCGGGCUGCAUUAAAUAUCCAAAUGAGGACGAAUAAAUUAAAUUAAGAACAAGUAUACAAGGAUCUUAGACACUUCGAACGUCUACAAAAACAAUAUAUUUUGGUUUAUACUUUGCCAUGGAUUUAAAUUGGAAUUACUCAGAGCUUACGAAAUCCGUAUUUAAAUUCCACUACUGCCCAUUACAUUUUUGUACUUUUUUUCAGCUGAAUUAAAUAAACUUCAUAUUUUAAUAUCAAAUUGAGCUUGCCAAAUGGAGUUUAUGAUCAUGUUUCUGCAAGGACGUUUUUUAUUAACAAUAGCUACUGGUAAAUAACUAUGACUGGCCGCAAGUUUGCACGAGAAGUUGCUGGCAGUGGAGCUGGAUUACUGCUGAUCCUUUGUCUAAAUAUGUGUGUGAA